CGGGAUUGCUUGUGAAUGGAGCUUGAGAGAUAGGAGCCAAAGAAGGAGCAGGAGAGCAUGGGUUUCGUGAGCCAGGUUACUACGCGAUAUUAAACACAAAAUAAAAACUCAAAAUGUCUUCCUUCUAUCCCAUUUAUUUACACCUAAAAAUUAAUCAAUCAUCGACCAAAUAUAAGAUGAAUUAAGAUUUGGCUAAUUAUUUGUGCAUAAUCCUUCAAGGAAUAAUCUGUAGCUACCUGUUACUUAUACAAGAGACUAUAUGUGCAUAAUUGAUUGUUAGAGUUAUCUUUCUAAAGAACGAUAUCAAAAUGGAAUAUUCUUGUAGAUAACCAUUGGCAACCACC
rnacentral:lncRNA from 1 species